AUGCCAUACCGCGAGGAGCACCCCAUGAAGAAGUUGCUGACCAUCGUUGCCAUCGCCGCCGCCGUGGUGGCCGUGCCCAUGGCACUGGCGCAGAACGCCGGACAGGGCCAGCCCACGCCGCAGCAGGGCGAACAGGCCGACAGGGCGCAGGCCGAGGCGGACGCCAAGGCCAAGCGCCGCGCGGCCGCCACGGCCGAAAUGAAGGCCAGGGGCGAGCAGGCCCCGCAGAAGGAGGAAGAGGAAGAAGCGCGGAAGAAGCGCUGAUUCCUGUUGUCUGAUUACCGACGCCCCGGCCUGGCCGGGGCGUUUUUUAUGUGAAGACCGGCAU
rnacentral:sRNA from 1 species